rnacentral:rRNA from 1 species
UGCGAAUGGCUCAUUAAAUCAGCUAUGGUUCCUUGGAUCGUACAUACUACAUGGAUAACUGUAGUAAUUCUAGAGCUAAUACAUGCCACUAUGCCCUGACCCGCAAGGGAACGGGUGGUUUUAUUAGAACAGAACCAACCAGUUGCGGCUUUGGCUGCGGCUGUUGAACUCUGUGAUGACUCUGGAUAACUGUACCGAUCGCAGUCGGCCUUGUGUCGGCGACGGAUCCUUCAAAUGUCUGCCCUAUCAAUUUUCGAUGGUAGGUGACCUGCCUACCAUGGUGAUAACGGGUAACGGGGAAUCAGGGUUCGAUUCCGGAGAGGGAGCCUGAGAAACGGCUACCACUUCCAAGGAAGGCAGCAGGCGCGCAAAUUACCCAAUCCCGGCACGGGGAGGUAGUGACGAAAAAUACGAAUACGGGACUCAACAGAGGCUCCGUAAUUCGAAUGAGUGCAAUUUAAAUCCUUUAACGAGGAUCAACUGGAGGGCAAGUCUGGUGCCAGCAGCCGCGGUAACUCCAGCUCCAGAAGCGUAUAUUAAAGUUGUUGCAGUUAAAAAGCUCGUAGUUGGAUCUGGGUCGUAUGGCCACAUGCCGUUGUUUGCAUUCCUGGUCUGAUUGCAAUUGGAUCGGAUUUGUGACUCGGUGUCGUGGUUGUGCAGCCUUUCUGCCGUGUCUGGUUACAGGUGCUGGCUUAUUCGAUCAGGUCGCCUUUUCGAUGAGUUGGCAUGCCUCUUGAUGCCUUUGAACGGGUGUCAGGGGCGGACGGCACGUUUACUUUGAACAAAUUUGAGUGCUCAAAGCAGGCCAUUGAGCCUGAAAAUUCUUGCAUGGAAUAAUGGAAUAGGACUUCGGUUCUAUUUUGUUGGUUUUCGGAUCCGAAGUAAUGGUUAAGAGGGACAGACGGGGGCAUUUGUAUGGCGGCGUUAGAGGUGAAAUUCUUGGAUCGUCGCCAGACAAACUACAGCGAAAGCAUUUGCCAAGGAUGUUUUCAUUGAUCUGGAGCGAAAGUCAGAGGUUCGAAGACGAUCAGAUACCGUCCUAGUUCUGACCAUAAACGAUGCCAACUGACGAUCCGUGGUGGUUCUUUUAUCGUCCCCACGGGCAGUCCCCGGAAAACCUUUAAGUCUUUGGGCUCCGGGGGAAGUAUGGUUGCAAAGCUGAAACUUAAAGGAAUUGACGGAAGGGCACCACCAGGAGUGGAGCCUGCGGCUUAAUUCGACUCAACACGGGAAAACUCACCCGGCCCGGACACUGUGAGGAUUGACAGAUUGAAAGCUCUUUCUUGAUUCGGUGGUUGGUGGUGCAUGGCCGUUCUUAGUUGGUGGAGUGAUUUGUCUGGUUAAUUCCGAUAACGAACGAGACUUUGGCCUGCUAAAUAGUAUGCCUGUCCUCUGUAUUCGUGCAGGUGAGGGCGCUCAUUGCCUCUUUGGGGGUAGUGGUGCCGUUCGCCGGCGGGUACUGCGCAGGUGUUUACUUCUUAGAGGGACAAGCGGCGUGACAGUCGCACGAAAAUGAGCAAUAACAGGUCUGUGAUGCCCUUAGAUGUCCGGGGCCGCACGUGCGCUACAAUGACGGUUUCAGCGAGUUUGGAAGCCUGGCCCGAAAGGGUUGGGGAAACUGAACCAUUACCGUCGUGACUGGGAUCGGGGCUUGCAAUUGUUCCCCGUGAACGAGGAAUUCCUGGUAAGUGCAAGUCAUAAGCUUGCGCUGAUUACGUCCCUGCCCUUUGUACACACCGCCCGUCGCUACUACCGAUUGAAUGGUUUAGCAAGGUCCUCGGAUUGGUGCCAUUGCAGUUGCCUCGGCAGCUCGACCGGUGCUAAGAAGACGACCAAACUUGAUCAUUUAAAGGAAGUAAAAGUC